AACUUUGAUAGUUUAUAUUUCGCAAACGGACAUUUCAGAAGAUUUUGUCUCAUACAAUACGUGUUUGUAUUGAUGCCAGCUAUUGAUUAAUGUAGGUUUCAUGCGUGACCGCUAUUUUGAAAAAAAAAAUGGCGAACGUGUAUAGUUCGCGACAGGUCGAGU